ensembl:lncRNA
UAACAACUUUAGCUGGAGUAAAAAAGAGGAGAUUGAAUUUUACCGUACAACAUGAAAGCACGCUCGCUCAGGCAGCUGCGCGCUCACCUCACCAAUGUACACAAGACGCGUUGUUUGAGCAUGUUGUGCCUGUUUUUCUUUAGGUCCCAGGCCAUGUUAAUUUGUUAUACGUAGACUCUAACGGUGAGACCAUACUGCUCAGCACGCACGUGUUAGUCACUGCUCACGAGCGCAGCACAUUGGGAGUUAGUUAGGGGUCCAAGCCAACAGGUUGGAACCCUAUUGUUUUUGUAAGGUUUUUUUAGGGGUCCAAGCCAACAGGUUGGAUCCCUAUUGUUUUUGUAGUGUUUGUUAUUAUUCCCCCCUAGAAGUGGUACCACAGCCCAAACCGUAUAUGGUGCAGACACGCCAAUUGCAUGACUAGAUCCAGGUCCGUGCGGACUACGCAGAUGACAAAAUCCAGACAUUUCGGUCACUAGGUGGCGCUAUACCUAGGAAAACGUGUUUGGGGCUAUAACUCCCACACCGAACCGCCCACAGUCCAAAACGUUAUACCCACAGAUGCACUGGAGUCUGCUGCAUCUUUUGGCAUAGGCCACGCCCAUUUGCGUCUAUGAUUUUUUUCCGCAAAAUCGCGAAAACCGCUAAACUGCCUUUUCCCUACUCCUCCCACAUCUCUUGACCAAUCGACACCAAACUUUGCACACAACAUCUUCAGACGCACACAAAAAAAUAAAUUCGAACACUUUUUUGAUCCGACCUUCGAAGACGAAACGGUAGCGUUUUGAAUAUUGGUUUAUGAGCUAAAUUAGACGUGGAAAAUCAAAAAUCCAAAAAAAUCCAAAAUUAAACAUCGGAUCGAGUCCAAAUUUUACACACAUGUUGGCGCUACCCUUAAUGUCGUUCGAUAAAAACGUCGGAACAUUUCGCCAUUAGGGGGGCAAUAAACGAGGAAAUUGUAUAUCUUCUACAAAAUUUCGCCAUUAGGGGCCGCCAUAAACGAGGAAAAUGUUCAUCUCCCAUCUUGCCAAAGGAAUGUUCUGAAAACGCGUUUGGGGAUAUAUCUCCCACACCGAACCUCCCACAGUCAAAACCUUUAUAUCCACAGGUUCACGGUAGCGUUUUGAACACAUGCUUCGCGUUGUGCCGGCGAAAUGCACAUUUCUUGUCGCGUUGUGCCGGCGAAAUGCACAUCGCUUGGACCCCUGCAUAACUGCUUGCAGUUCUAGUUUAUUUUACGUUUUACAUUACACUAAUUUUUGACUGUUAAUGUAUUCUAAAACACUCAAAGGUUCUGCAUUCAAUUCACAUAUUCAUCAAAAGUGUUUAAAGUAUAUUUAAGG